rnacentral:tRNA from 1 species
GGAGAUUUAGCUCAGUGGCAGAGCACUUGCCUAGCAAGCGCAAGGCCCUGGGUUCGGUCCCCAGCUCCG